UUGAAGCAACAAAGUCUUGACAGGGAAGCU
rnacentral:piRNA from 1 species